AACGCGAAGAACCUUACCCAGGCUUGACAUGCAGAUGACGAUAGUAGAAAUACUAUUUCCUUUCGGGGCAUCUGCACAGGUGCUGCAUGGCUGUCGUCAGCUCGUGCCGUGAGGUGUUUGGUUAAGUCCAGCAACGAGCGCAACCCUUAUCACUAGUUGCCAACAUUUCGGAUGGGAACUCUAGUGAGACUGCCUGGGUUAACCAGGAGGAAGGUGAGGAUGACGUCAAGUCCGCAUGGCCCUUAUGUCUGGGGCUACACACGUGCUACAAUGGUCGGUACAGAAGGCAGCGAAGCCGCGAGGUGGAGCAAAUCCAUAAAGCCGAUCUCAGUUCAGAUUGUAGUCUGCAACUCGACUACAUGAAGACGGAAUUGCUAGUAAUGGCGGGUCAGCAACACCGCCGUGAAUACGUUCCCGGGCCUUGUACACACCGCUCGUC
rnacentral:rRNA from 1 species